CUUUUGGGUCAGACUUAAAAUGCUUGUCUACCUUUUUGAGACAGUGCCUGCGUGCUUUUUCAGUUUUUGUUUUGUUUUUCUCUCCCUUGGAAUCCCCCCUGCAGACGGUGUGAUGAGCUGCCAGCCAAUUUAAAUUAAUUUUGCUAAAUUAGGAAGAAGUGAAUGUCACUUUUUGAGACAGCAGAAUUUCUCCUCCAGAUCCCCAGAAAUAACUCAGGAGAACGAUUAGUUUGUAAGAGAUUCCCGAGGAAAACGGCCCAGAAGUGGAGAAACAGUUUGGUGAACUUUGAUGGCCCAGUCAGCAGUCCCAGCAUACUGACAAGAGUACCCGAAAACUUAGAAAGUAAUAUAAAGACUACCUGGAAAUGUUCAAUGAAGCAUUCUGAUGUAUACCUACGUCUCCCUCCAACUUUCUGA
rnacentral:lncRNA from 1 species